rnacentral:rRNA from 1 species
AUUGAACGCUGGCGACAUGCCUUACACAUGCAAGUCGAACGGCAGCACGGGUGCUUGCACCUGGUGGCGAGUGGCGAACGGGUGAGUAAUACAUCGGAACAUGUCCUGUAGUGGGGGAUAGCCCGGCGAAAGCCGGAUUAAUACCGCAUACGAUCUACGGAUGAAAGCGGGGGACCUUCGGGCCUCGCGCUAUAGGGUUGGCCGAUGGCUGAUUAGCUAGUUGGUGGGGUAAAGGCCUACCAAGGCGACGAUCAGUAGCUGGUCUGAGAGGACGACCAGUCACACUGGGACUGAGACACGGCCCAGACUCCUACGGGAGGCAGCAGUGGGGAAUUUUGGACAAUGGGCGAAAGCCUGAUCCAGCAAUGCCGCGUGUGUGAAGAAGGCCUUCGGGUUGUAAAGCACCUUUGUCCGGAAAGAAAUCCUUGGCCCUAAUACGGUCGGGGGAUGACGGUACCGGAAGAAUAAGCACCGGCUAACUACGUG